rnacentral:misc_RNA from 1 species
AAGUCGUAACAAGGUUUCCGUAGGUGAACCUGCGGAAGGAUCAUUAACACGUAUCCACGUAUUUAUCAACCAACACUAAGAACUGUAGCUCCCCUUCAGUAGACUUCCAUCUGCCAGUAACUGGGAUGUGGUGAGUUGUAUGCGAGUGCUUGCACUUUCAUGCGACGUACCCAGUGAUCGCUUUCACUCUUCGAGAGUGUGGAUGGUGACUUAUUGACGGGCUCAACCUUUCUCACCUACUCCUAUUGCCAUGGGAGCCAGGUGAGGAAACCCAUACCUAUUUCACCCUAUUUUACCCAUUUGACUAAUUUAUUCGACGGGAGAAAUCCUGUUGGAUCCUAAGAUUUAUCUUAACUAAGCACAACUCUUAGCAAUGGAUAUCUUGGUUCUC